AAGUCGUAACAAGGUUUCCGUAGGUGAACCUGCGGAAGGAUCAUUAACUAAAGGAUAGUUUAUCUUGUGAACUGGGUGGGUAGGUUGCUGUGUGUACGCUAUGUGCACGUAGUACCUACACUCUUACAUAUUAAGCAUUAGACUGAAUUCAUAAAAAUUACAAAAUACAAUUUUUAACAAUGGAUCUCUAGGCUCUU
rnacentral:misc_RNA from 1 species